AUUGAACGCUGGCGGCAGGCCUAACACAUGCAAGUCGAACGGUAGCACAGAGAGCUUGCUCUCGGGUGACGAGUGGCGGACGGGUGAGUAACGUCUGGGAAACUGCCCGAUGGAGGGGGAUAACUACUGGAAACGGUAGCUAAUACCGCAUAACGUCGCAAGACCAAAGUGGGGGACCUUCGGGCCUCACACCAUCGGAUGUGCCCAGAUGGGAUUAGCUAGUAGGUGGGGUAAUGGCUCACCUAGGCGACGAUCCCUAGCUGGUCUGAGAGGAUGACCAGCCACACUGGAAUUGAGACACGGUCCAGACUCCUACGGGAGGCAGCAGUGGGGAAUAUUGCACAAUGGGCGCAAGCCUGAUGCAGCCAUGCCGCGUGUAUGAAGAAGGCCUUCGGGUUGUAAAGUACUUUCAGAGGGGAGGAAGGCGGUGAAGUUAAUAGCUUCACCGAUUGACGUUACCCGCAGAAGAAGCACCGGCUAACUCCGUGCCAGCCGCCGCGGUAA
rnacentral:rRNA from 1 species